UAGGGAAUCUUGCGCAAUGGGCGAAAGCCUGACGCAGCAACGCCGCGUGCGGGAAGAAGGCCUUCGGGUUGUAAACCGCUUUUGGCAGGAACGAAAAUGACGGUACCUGCAGAAUAAGGUGCGGCCAACUACGUGCCAGCAGCCGCGGUGACACGUAGGCACCAAGCGUUGUCCGGAUUUAUUGGGCGUAAAGAGCUCGUAGGCGGUUCAGUAAGUCGGGUGUGAAAACUCUGGGCUUAACCCAGAGACGCCACCCGAUACUGCUGAACUAGAGUUCGGUAGGGGAGCGGGGAAUUCCUAGUGUAGCGGUGAAAUGCGCAGAUAUUAGGAGGAACACCGGUGGCGAAGGCGCCGCUCUGGGCCGAUACUGACGCUGAGGAGCGAAAGCGUGGGUAGCAAACAGG
rnacentral:rRNA from 1 species